ensembl:snoRNA
GAAUGGCAAUGGAUUCAUGGUGGGCUCUUCUCUUCUCUGUUUCUCAUAGUGCACCCAUGCCGGAGUAAACGGCAGCCUCAAACCGUUGCCUGUCUCCUUACCUGUGGCUGUGAGCACGUGAAGGGGUUGCACAGUG